AAAAAUUAAAAUUUCUUAUUCCCUUUCAGAGCUACUAUGUUAUGAUAUCUCAAACUAAUAUUUGAGACUCCCUGGCUUGAUAACUAUGAUUCCAUUGAAGAUGACUAUUGAGUUGAAUGGCUCUGUUUUCCAUCAACGGUGACAGCUUUUAAUCACAGAUCUCAAGCCCAUUAUGAACAUUAAUUAAUGUCUGACAUCGCUUAAUGAGAUGGAGUCUUGCCCUGUUGCCCAGGCUGGAGUGCCGUGGCUUGAUAUUGGCUGUCUGCAACCUCCGCCUCCCGGGUUCAAGUGAUUCUCCUGCCUCAGCCUCCCAAGUAGCUGGGAUUACAGGUGGUUUAAUCUGAACCAAGAUCCAGUCUGAGUACAUUUUGUUAAAUCCCGUGAGUCUCUUCUAUUCUUUGAAAGUACCUUUUAUCAUGACACCCUGACUUGCUGAAGUCCUCCCAGUUGUCCUUUAGAAGAUCUUAUGCUGUUUGAUCCCUUUCUUGUGGUGAUGUUUUAUUUGUUUCUUCAUCUCCAGUAAUCUCUGUAAUCUGGCAGUCAAAUCUGAAGGUUAUAUUAAAUUCAAGUUAAACAUUUUUGUCAAAGUUAAAAUCAUAGGUGAUGUCGUACACUUAACAUUGCAUCACAUUGAUGGUCAUAAAUGUCUGAUUGUCCCACCAGUGGUGAUAUUAAAUUUGGCCACAGGAUCAAGGGAAUAAAAGUCUGAUUCUUCUAUUGCAAAAUUAUGUUUCUCAGUUUGUGAUCAAAUUUUUUUGGCUAGAACUGUGAAUUUUCAGGUCACCAACAGCCAUUUAUGUUAUUUUAUUUUAACACCAAUUGAUAAGAGUUGGCUGCAUCGAUAAUCUAAUCAGGGCAAAUAGUUAUAUCUAUGAUUCUUAUCAUUUAUUUCACACUUAUUAGUUAGCUUUCUUCAUCAUGUAGACUGCUUUUUCCUUCAACUGGGUCUAUUUAAUUUUCUAAAUCACAAUUCCUUCUAAAAAGGUGGAAUACAUGUUAAUUCUUUCUUUUGUUUCUAUAAUUUGGAGGCAAUUCACUGAGCAGAUAUCUGUCUUCAGAACUCGAAUUGACCCUGUCCAAUGUGGCUGCUUUAUAAUACAUAUUCUAUUAAUUUUAAAAAAUAAUUCCCAUUGUUCUUGUGCCAAAAUGGCUAUCCAGGAACAAUUGUUAUAGUGUAUUUCAUUUCUUAUUUGUUUCUUGUUGUUAUGUAAAAUAUCCUAAGCAUUUGUAAAUAUACUAAUCAUUGUUCUUUUUUUAUUCAUUAUAUUUCCGUGUAAGGGUGUAUUUGAUUCACUCACUGUAAUCUUUUCCUUCCAGGGUUUUCCCAUGAUAUUCCAUAAUUUCCAUUUCAUCUUGAUGAUUUCAUCUAUAAUAUUUAUUUGGUGCUGAGAAGGUUCCCACAAAUUAGUCAGAUUCCAAUGCUGAUAUCCUGUUACUUUCCACCUGCUACCAUAACCCUCUCCUUGGGUAUCCAGACAGAUUAUGGCACUGUCUUGUAGCUGGUCCCAGAAACAAUUUAUAUGGCCAAUAUUUGUUACAGGGUAAAUACCAAGGAUCCAGGACAUCUGGCAUGACAUAAUCUUUAGAAAAUUUUGAUUAGUUGUAAGACUGUCUUAGAUUUGACAAUACCCGGAUUUGUCAUUAUGGGGUCCCCCUAGUUUGUCUUCUGGUGGUGUGCUGGAAGCUGAAAUAACCUGAUGCAUUAAUUAGGCCAGUAUAACACAUGAAAUAGAGUGUGGUUUGGCAGACUAGGGCCUCUGUGAAAGAAAAUUACCUUGCCAUCCAUGUUGAAGAAUUUUAUAAUAAAUUACAGACAAUAUAUAACAAAACAUUUAUGAAAGUAGGGACCAGUGCUGAAUCUCCAGAGUGAAGCCUCACAUGUAACAGACUCAGAACAAAUGCUGGUUGAAUGAAUUAAUUUCAACUCACUCAUCUGUGGGAAUUAGAGAUCCUUCAAAGAAAUACACAGAUGAGAGUUGAAAAAAUUGUCUUGUUGAAGCCUCCUCCUUUUUUUUUUUUUUUUUUUUUUUGAGACAGAGUCUCACUCUGUCACUCAGGCUGGAGUGCAGUGGUGUGAUCUCUGCUCACUGCAACCUCCACCUCCUUGGUUCAAGCGAUUCUCCUGCCUCAGCCUCCCGAGUAGCUGGGAUUACAGGCGCCUGCCACCACACUCGGCUAAUUUUUGUUUUUAGUAGAGACAGGAUUUCAUCAUGUUGGCCAAGCUGGUCUCCAACUCCUGACCUCAAGUGAUCCUCCCACCUUGGCCUCCCAAAGCGCUGGGAUUGCAGGCAUGAGCCACGUGCCUGGCUGAAACCUCUCUUAACUAAGAGUCUAUAUUGUCUUUUAUUGGAAAGUGUGUCAAAGUUCUUUUGCCUUUCCUGAAGAUGUUUAUACCAUAAAAUUCUAUCUGUUUCUUAUCCUCUGACAUUAGUUUGUUGCUGAUAUUAUUACUAGAUUUCAAGGUCACUUCAGAAAUAUUUGGUAGUAAAAUAAAGGCUCUAAUUAAAAAAAACUA